GUUUAUUGCUGAAGGGAACAUCGGAUAAAAUUCGAACAAUGCAGAGAAGAUUGGCAUGGCCCCUGUGCAAGGAUGACACGCACAAAUCAAGAAAUAACCAAACUUUUC
rfam:Nicotiana attenuata strain TT chromosome 7, whole genome shotgun sequence.